GAGGGUAUAGCUCAAGUGUUAGAGCGAGUGCUUAGGAUGCAUGAAGUCCUGGGUUCAAUCCCCACUACCUCUU
rnacentral:tRNA from 1 species